rnacentral:tRNA from 1 species
AUUUAUAUAGUUUAAUUAAAACUUUACACUUUCAUUGUAAAAAUAAAUUUUUAUUUUAUAAAUA